rnacentral:rRNA from 1 species
GACGAACGCUGGCGGCGUGCUUAACACAUGCAAGUCGAACGAAGAGCGAUGGAAGCUUGCUUCUAUCAAUCUUAGUGGCGAACGGGUGAGUAACGCGUAAUCAACCUGCCCUUCAGAGGGGGACAACAGUUGGAAACGACUGCUAAUACCGCAUACGAUCCAAUCUCGGCAUCGGGACUGGAUGAAAGGUGGCCUCUAUUUAUAAGCUAUCACUGAAGGAGGGGAUUGCGUCUGAUUAGCUAGUUGGAGGGGUAACGGCCCACCAAGGCGAUGAUCAGUAGCCGGUCUGAGAGGAUGAACGGCCACAUUGGGACUGAGACACGGCCCAGACUCCUACGGGAGGCAGCAGUGGGGAAUCUUCCGCAAUGGACGAAAGUCUGACGGAGCAACGCCGCGUGAGUGAUGACGGCCUUCGGGUUGUAAAGCUCUGUUAAUCGGGACGAAUAGUUCUUGUGCGAAUAGUGCGAGGAUUUGACGGUACCGGAAUAGAAAGCCACGGCUAACUACGUG